rnacentral:rRNA from 1 species
AGAGUUUGAUCAUGGCUCAGAACGAACGCUGGCGGCGUGCUUAACACAUGCAAGUCGAGUGCGCGCCUGUAGCAAUACAGGUGGCGCACGGCGCACGGGUGCGUAACACGUGGGUAAUCUGCCCUCUGAUGGGGAAUAACUCGCCGAAAGGCGAGCUAAUUCCGCAUAAUAUUCCGAGAACCUCGGUUUUUGGACUGAAAGGCGUAAGUCGUCGGAGGAGGAGCCCGCGCACGAUUAGCUAGUUGGUAGGGUAAUGGCCUACCAAGGCUUUGAUCGUUAGCUGGUCUGAGAGGAUGGCCAGCCACACUGGAACUGAGACACGGUCCAGACUCCUACGGGGGGCAGCAGUGGGGAAUCUUGCACAAUGGGCGAAAGCCUGAUGCAGCGACGCCGCGUGGGGGAUGAAGCUUCUCGGAGUGUAAACCCCUUUCGAUCCGGACGAAACCCCGCAAGGGAUUGACGGUACGGAUAUAAGAAGCCCCGGCUAACUACGUGCCAGCAGCCGCGGUAAUACGUAGGGGGCCAGCGUUGUUCGGAAUUACUGGGUGUAAAGGGUUCGUAGGCGGUGUGGCAAGUUGGGAGUGAAAUCUCUGGGCUCAACCCAGAGACGGCUUCCAAAACUGCCGUGCUUGAGUGUGGGAGAGGCUCGUGGAAUUGCAGGUGUAGCGGUGAAAUGCGUAGAUAUCUGCAGGAACACCCGUGGCGAAAGCGGCGAGCUGGACCACUACUGACGCUGAAGAACGAAAGCUAGGGGAGCAAACAGGAUUAGAUACCCUAGUAGUCC